rnacentral:rRNA from 1 species
UACACACCGCCCGUCACACCAUGGGAGUCUAACUGCUCCAGAAAUGGCCGUGCUAACCGCAAGGAGGCAGGCCUUAAGGAGUGGUAGGUAACUGGGGUG